rnacentral:rRNA from 1 species
UGGGGAAUAUUGCACAAUGGGCGCAAGCCUGAUGCAGCCACGCCGCGUGUGUGAAGAAGGCCUUCGGGUUGUAAAGCACUUUCAGCGAGGAGGAAGGUGGUGAGCUUAAUACGCUCAUCAAUUGACGUUACUCGCAGAAGAAGCACCGGCUAACUCCGUGCCAGCAGCCGCGGUAAUACGGAGGGUGCAAGCGUUAAUCGGAAUUACUGGGCGUAAAGCGCACGCAGGCGGUUUGUUAAGUCAGAUGUGAAAAUCCCCGGGCUCAACCUGGGAACUGCAUUUGAAACUGGCAAGCUAGAGUCUCGUAGAGGGGGGUAGAAUUCCAGGUGUAGCGGUGAAAUGCGUAGAGAUCUGGAGGAAUACCGGUGGCGAAGGCGGCCCCCUGGACGAAGACUGACGCUCAGGUGCGAAAGCGUGGGGAGCAAAACAGGAUUAGAUACCCUGGUAGUCCACGCUGUAAAACGAUGUCGAUUUUGGAGGUUGUGCCCUUGAGGCGUGGCUUCCGGAGCUAACGCGUUAAAUCGACCGCCUGGGGAGUACGGCCGCAAGGUU